AGUGAACGCUGGCGGUAGGCCUAACACAUGCAAGUCGAACGGCAGCACAGUAAGAGCUUGCUCUUACGGGUGGCGAGUGGCGGACGGGUGAGGAAUACAUCGGAAUCUACUUUUUCGUGGGGGAUAACGUAGGGAAACUUACGCUAAUACCGCAUACGACCUACGGGUGAAAGCAGGGGAUCUUCGGACCUUGCGCGAUUGAAUGAGCCGAUGUCGGAUUAGCUAGUUGGCGGGGUAAAGGCCCACCAAGGCGACGAUCCGUAGCUGGUCUGAGAGGAUGAUCAGCCACACUGGAACUGAGACACGGUCCAGACUCCUACGGGAGGCAGCAGUGGGGAAUAUUGGACAAUGGGCGCAAGCCUGAUCCAGCCAUACCGCGUGGGUGAAGAGGGCCUUCGGGCUGUAAAGCCCUUUUGUUGGGAAAGAAAAGCAGCAGGUUAAUACCCCGCUGUUCUGACGGUACCCAAAGAAUAAGCACCGGCUAACUUCGUG
rnacentral:rRNA from 1 species